CAGCCGCCGCGGUAAUACCGGCGGCCCGAGUGGCGGUCACUCUUAUUGGGCUUAAAGCGUCCGUAGCCGGGUUGGGAAGUCCUCCGGGAAAUCUGGCCGCUUAACGGUCAGAAUGCCGGAGGAUACUCCCAGCCUAGGGAGCGGGAGAGGCCGAGGGUCUUCCCGGAGUAGGGGUGAAAUCCUAUAAUCCCGGGAGGACCACCUGUGGCGAAGGCGCUCGGCUGGAACGCGUCCGACGGUGAGGGACGAAGGCCAGGGGAGCAAACCGGAUUAGAUACCCGGGUAGUCCUGGCGGUAAACGAUGCGGACUUUGUGUCGGACAAGCUAUGAGCUUGUCCGGUGCCGGAGGGAAACCGUUAAGUCCGCCGCCUGGGGAGUACGGCCGCAAGGCUGAAACUUAAAGGAAUUGGCGGG
rnacentral:rRNA from 1 species